UAAGGAAUAUUGGUCAAUGGGCGGAAGCCUGAACCAGCCAUGCCGCGUGCAGGAAGACGGCCCUACGGGUUGUAAACUGCUUUUGUACCAGAAUAAACCUUUGUUCGUGAACAAAGCUGAAUGUAUGGUAAGAAUAAGGAUCGGCUAACUCCGUGCCAGCAGCCGCGGUAAUACGGAGGAUCCGAGCGUUAUCCGGAUUUAUUGGGUUUAAAGGGUGCGUAGGCGGCCUGUUAAGUCAGGGGUGAAAGACGGUAGCUCAACUAUCGCAGUGCCCUUGAUACUGAUGGGCUUGAAUGUACUAGAGGUAGGCGGAAUGUGACAAGUAGCGGUGAAAUGCAUAGAUAUGUCACAGAACACCAAUUGCGAAGGCAGCUUACUAUGGUAUGAUUGACGCUGAGGCACGAAAGCGUGGGGAUCAAACA
rnacentral:rRNA from 1 species